AACUGGGAUUAGAUACCCCACUAUGCCCGGCCCUAAAUCCUGAUGCCUCCUACAACCAAGGCAUCCGCCCGAGCACAAACGCUUAAAACUCUAAGGACUUGGCGGUACCCCGAACCCACCUAGAGGAGCCUGUCCUGUAAUCGAUACCCCACGAUACACCCGACCACCCCUUGCACAAGCAGCCUACAUACCGCCGUCGCCAGUCCACCUCUUGAGAGCCCAACAGUGGACACAAGAGCAAACCCGCUAGCAAGACAGGUCAAGGUAUAGCUAAUGAGGUGGCAGAGAUGGGCUACACUCUCUAGACUAGAGAACUAAACGGACGGGGGCAUGAAACUGCCCCCCAAAGGCGGAUUUAGCAGUAAAAGUGGCAAGCUUCCACCUGGGAUUAGAUACCCCACU
rnacentral:rRNA from 1 species